ACGGAAGGCAGCAGUGGGGAAUAUUGCACAAUGGGGGAAACCCUGAUGCAGCGACGCCGCGUGGGUGAAGAAGUUUUUCGGAAUGUAAAGCCCUAUCAGCAGGGAAGAUAAUGACGGUACCUGACUAAGAAGCACCGGCUAAAUACGUGCCAGCAGCCGCGGUAAUACGUAUGGUGCAAGCGUUAUCCGGAUUUACUGGGUGUAAAGGGAGCGCAGACGGCAUGGCAAGCCAGAUGUGAAAGGUGGGGGCUCAACCCCCAAGCUGCAUUUGGAACUGUCAAGCUAGAGUAUCGGAGAGGUAAGUGGAAUUCCUAGUGUAGCGGUGAAAUGCGUAGAUAUUAGGAGGAACACCAGUGGCGAAGGCGGCUUACUGGACGAUAACUGACGUUGAGGCUCGAAAGCGUGGGGAGCAAACAGGAUUAGAUACCCUGGUA
rnacentral:rRNA from 1 species